rnacentral:rRNA from 1 species
UACCAGCACCCCGAGUGGUCGGGACGUUUAUUGGGCGUAAAGCGUCUGUAGGUGGCUUUUUAAGUCCGCCGUCAAAUCCCAGGGCUCAACUCUGGACAGGCGGUGGAAACUACCAAACUGGAGUACGGUAGGGGCAGAGGGAAUUUCCGGUGGAGCGGUGAAAUGCGUAGAGAUCGGAAAGAACACCAACGGCGAAAGCACUCUGCUGGGCCGACACUGACACUGAGAGACGAAAGCUAGGGGAGCGAAUGGG